rnacentral:rRNA from 1 species
UACGGAGGGUGCAAGCGUUAUCCGGAUUCACUGGGUUUAAAGGGUGCGUAGGUGGCUUUGUAAGUCAGUGGUGAAAUGCCGGAGCUUAACUCCGGAACUGCCAUUGAUACUGCUUAGCUUGAAUCACGUCGAGGUGGAUGGAAUAUUACAUGUAGCGGUGAAAUGCUUAGAUAUGUAAUAGAACACCGAUUGCGAAGGCAGUUCACUAGGCGUGUAUUGACACUGAGGCACGAAAGCGUGGGGAUCAAAC